UGGGGAAUAUUGGGCAAUGGAGGGAACUCUGACCCAGCAACGCCGCGUGAAGGAUGAAGGUUUUCGGAUUGUAAACUUCUGUCGCGAGGGAUGAAGAAUGACGGUACCUCGUAAGAAAGCCCCGGCAAACUACGUGCCAGCAGCCGCGGUAAUACGUAGGGGGCGAGCGUUGUCCGGAAUGACUGGGCGUAAAGGGAGUGUAGGCGGCCUUUUAAGUUAUGUGUGAAAGCCCACGGCUCAACUGUGGAAUUGCACAUAAAACUGGGAGGCUGGAGUGCAGGAGAGGUAAGCGGAAUUUCCAGU
rnacentral:rRNA from 1 species